CAUAUAUAAGCGGCCAAUGGUGCCAGCACUGCAGUAUCGCCAGCACAAGUAACACCGGCACUGACAAAAGAGUUCCAAGAAAGUGGGCAUCGCACAAGUGACUGAAACCAGUGCAUUUAGGAACAAUCGAAGCCAACCAUGACAGGAAACCUCCUGCCACUCGGACUACUGGUUCUCGCUAUGGUAGCAACUAUGGCUGCAGGGGAACCAGCUUGCCCGGAAGUCAGGUGCGGUGGACCGUACAAUGUCGCGUGCUUUGUUGGGGACGAAGUGUGCAGGUGCAGUUGCGUGGGGGAUGAAAAUCCUUGUGUGUCUCUGCUGAACCACCAGUGCCUGCCGGGUCGUUCCGUCAGCUGUACAACAGCGGGCAGCAAGUGCACAUGUAAAUGUGUACCAUAGUCGAGUCGCCCAAGUCAUGUACACAUAUCUAAUAAAAGGCAUUUUGAAUAAUAAAAA